rnacentral:lncRNA from 1 species
AUGCCCACACUUGGGCUACUCAGCUAUGACCAGGAGUGGAGGAGCUGGAUGGGGAUGGUGCACAAAGCUGCCUUCAGAGGGGCUGUGGGCAGGACCGGCAACAGAGGCAGACACCGCGUGCAGCUUAGGAGUGAAAGCUCUUUCCCCACCCCUACCACAGAGCCCGGAAACGGACCUCUUGAGCAUGGGACAACCAGAUGCUGUGGGUACAGCCUGCCUUCCAGGCACCAGGUGAAAAGAAGAGAUGCCCAACAUCAGACUUCAACACCAAGAGGAAUUUACUAGAAGGAUGGAGGAUGUGUCACAGAAUCCAAGGUUGGGGACAGCGAUAGGGAGGAGAUCAGGAACCUCAGCGCCCUGAGAAAUCCAAGCACUGGCUUUUCUUUUCUUUUUCUGCAGACUGACUGGCUCUUCUUGGUAUGCACGGUGGGAAAUGUCCACGGCCAACAGCUCCUGUGUUUACAUCACCUUCGUUCAAGAGCACAGCCAGAGUCAGGCAGCAAGGCUUCAGCUCCAUUCCAGCAUCCUGGAGAUGGGAUGUGAUUGGCUCAGCUUGGGCCAGGUGUUCUCCCUGACCAAUCGUCUGUGACCUGGGGGAGGGGCAGAAUCACAGGUGUGUUUGGCUCUUCUUCUCUCCGCCCUGUGGAUACAGGAGGUGUGGGACCAUUCCUAGAAAACGGACACUGGGCAGGCGGUAGACAGAAGGUACCAUCUACGUGUGGUUUGUCCACUGUCACUCAGCCAGAAAAUGGCACACCAAGUCUAAAUUCUUGGACUGCUACGUUCUUUCCACUUUGUUCCAUUUCAGCGUUAUGAAAUGAAGGUCAUUGUGCCCAAGGGACGUCAGAGGUGAGGACCAGAGCCUUAGAUUGCAACGAGGGUUCGGAGAGCUGAAGGCAGUGAGUAGAACAAUGCUUCCCAAUGCGGGCCUCCCUGCCAGACGAUAAACUGGGCAGGAUUCUAUGUGUCUCGCAUGGGUCCUGGCAGGCGGCAGUACUUGGUAAUUAUUUUUUUAAUGAGUGAAUGAAGGACUGUGCUUCUGAAGCACUUGUAGAACUUGAUAAAAAGAAAGAUUAAAAAAGUAACAUUUAUUGAGCACUUAUUCUAAGACUUUGCAUGUAUUAAAUCAUUAAUCAUCAAAUCAAUGAGCAGAAUAUUAUUAUUCCCCUUUAUAGAUAAGAUACUGAGGCACAGAAAGGUUGAGAAAUUCGCCCAAGUUCACUGCACUAGUGGCAGAACUAUCGGAAAUCUAAGCGGCCUCGCUCCAGAGCCUCCACACUCAACCACUGCACCUUACAGCCUCUCAAGAUGUCAGCAGCCCGCCCCAGACUGGGAGAACCAGAGUCUCUCGGGCUGGGACCUGGGAAUCUGUAUUUGAACAAGUUUCACAGGUGACUCUGAUGCACAGCCAGAAUUCGACCUAAAACUGUGAAUCUAAAAAUUAGCAGGAAGCCUGGGGCCAUAUGACUAGAACAAAUGAGGCUGCCUCCAGGAUUUUAAAGUUCUUCUAAUCCUGUGAACAUAAGGCCUGCCAAAUAAUGCUGAUUGAUUGUAUCCCCUUUGUGAGGAGGGAACCCAAGCCCAGAUCAAUUACAAAGAACCCUCUGGGGCCCUGCGAGCAGAAGGCCAGCUCAGUGGACCUGCCUCAGUGGACCUUUUCCUAAGGGACUCCAGGCACAGGCCACCGUCCUCGGGAGAGCUGGACUGACCGUGUACCUGCCUAGUUCCUGGACUUUGAUCUCCCAUCUGACCUCCCUCUCGCCCCUGCUCUGAUCUGACAACUCCUGCUGGGUUGACCCCAUCUCUGACCCCAGCCUGCCCCAGUUUUCAGCCUCACUGCUCCAGACUGAUAUCUCACAUGAUGACAGCUCGAGGCAGGACAAUAUUCGUCUCGGCCGCCAAUAAUGGGAGCAAGACACCAUCUCUGCUAAUGAUGUAGUGACAAAUGGAAUAUUCCUGUCAAAAGAGCUGUGACUUUCAGAGUGGAAUUUAGUUAUCUUAAACCAACUCUGCAACCAUCACUGGGCAUGGGAUAUAGAAACAGUGAGAAAUAAAUAGCCCUUGGUACUAACCA